rnacentral:rRNA from 1 species
ACAGCAGUCGCCACGGGAAUACAGAGGGUGCGAGCGUUAAUCGGAUUUACUGGGCGUAAAGCGUGCGUAGGCGGCUUCUUAAGUCGGAUGUGAAAUCCCUGAGCUUAACUUAGGAAUUGCAUUCGAUACUGGGAAGCUAGAGUAUGGGAGAGGAUGGUAGAAUUCCAGGUGUAGCGGUGAAAUGCGUAGAGAUCUGGAGGAAUACCGAUGGCGAAGGCAGCCAUCUGGCCUAAUACUGACGCUGAGGUACGAAAGCAUGGGGAGCAAACAGGAUUAGAGACCCCCGUAGUCCCUGUCUCUAUACA